CCUGUGGAUCGUUAUACAAACGAGAGUAGUCUAAAGACGAAUAUGUCUUUAAUAAAAUCGGACGGGAUGAAAUAGGAA
ncrna:unclassified sequences RAGATH-18 RNA